CUUGCCCCCUCCCCCCCACUCCAUGGCAGAUGCCGUCUCCACCUUGCCUGAGAUGAGCUAGGAAUUCUCCCACAGACCCUGGGAGCCAAGGGCCCCUGACAAGCAGCCUGUCCCCUGGCAAUUACUAACCAGUUGUCUGUAGUUUGGUCAUUUCAAGAAUGUUAUGGACAUGGAAAUACAGUUGAUAAGCUUUCAAGAUUGGUUUUUUCACUAUGAAUAAUGAAUACUCUUAGGCUUCUAAAUUUUCAUGUAUCAAUGGUUCUUUUGUUUGUUAAGUAGUCAAUUUAGAGGGAAUGCAUGUGUGUGGGGGGAGGGGGAGAGGGAGAGAAUCCCAAGGAGGCUCCGCCCUUGCCAGUACCGAGUCUGAGACUCACAAACUGAGAUGGUGACCUGAGCCGAAAUCAAGAGUCAGGUGUUUAACCGCCUGAGCUACCCAGGUGCCCCAACAUCAUUUUUUAUUAAACAUAAAAAUUUCACCUUUUGGCUGUUAGAGAAUCUAAGCAAUGGGUGGGUGGUUGCAGUAAAUGACCAACCCAAGAUUCCUUGGUGAAGGAUACUCGUCACGUUUCAGAUCAUAUACUGUUUAUAGCAUGCAGUUAAGUUUUCUAACUUGGGGGGAAGCCGACUUGGCUAUAUACGAAUCCUAAACUAUCCCACCUUUCUUGGUUACGUGCGCCGCGAGGGCAGGGCCGGGUCAGUCUGGCCAUCGGGUUCCCUGCUGAUCCUGGCACAGCUCCUUGCACGAGGCAGGUGGUGACCAACACCUGGUGCGUGGACGACUCCUUCGGAUGUGGUGCCACACACACGUCCCAGGUAGCCCGCUGGCUACCACUUGGAAGGUGCUGGCGGCAGAGGACGUUUUUAUCGCAGGGAGACGAGUCUAUAGAAUCAAGAGGACCCGCCUUGUCCAGACACCCGACUCAGGUUAACCGAACUAAUGUUUGGCGGUUGACAUGGUAAGAGAAUGCCGGCUUCUGGUUUCCCUGCUCCCAACCAGGUUUCCAAGUCAGCCCAGCCCGGUGUUGGCUAACUGAGCAUCACUGUGCGAGGCAGGCUCCGAGGACCUUUCCUGAGCGCUGUGGCCCGGUGGCUGUGUGAACAUCCAGAAGGAAGCGGGAAGAUCAGGUAUGAAGGCUUGGCUUUUUACUGAAGGGUUAUUUUUCCCACCUGGGACCAUUUCUUCUGGUACCCUCUGUGUUUGCCGUUCCUGUUGUGAGAUCUGGGGAAAGUAAACUCUGCCUGGAGUUGAAAUCUGCCUCUGGAGCCGGUUUUGUGUCAUCCCACUAAGAUGUUUAGCCAUCAGCACCGUGAUUACGUGUAUUCAUCUCUGUGUCGAUGGGUGGCUCCCUAGGAAGAUCUAUUUUCAGGACCACAUGCUUACAUUGCUGAGAGACAGGAGGUGCAAGAUCAAAGCCCCGUGGCCGAGCGGGGCCUGCCGUGGGAUGGGGAAUGGGGACAGAGUGGAGAAUGCACUUGGCUAAUGACAAGUUGCUACGCUCCUUUUUGGGUGUAAUGGAAAUUGCCCAAAGCUUGGAAAAUGAGGGAGCAGUGUCGCCAAACAGGUUUAAACUGAACACUAGGGACGGAGGACACAUGUGCCUGACUCUGGCCAAAGAAGGCAGGAAGAGCAGGCAGUUGCCGGCUGCAGGUGCCACAGGAUGGUGUAAGGGCCUGGAAGCUUCUCUGCCCUGCGCUCUGGUUAUAGGGGCGGCGGGAGAGGGCACUUGUGCAUGAGAAGGGUCCCUUCACCUUUGUGACUCUCUUCGCAGCCCUGUGCUGUCUUCUCCGGGUCUGAUUGCUUCCUGUGGUUUUUCCUUCUUCUGCUCUGAAAUGCUUGCUAUUCGUUUAACCUAGUUCAUCCUUUGUAUUAACAGCGACUAAAUGGUCACUCUGGAGGCCGGAGGACCUGGCUUCCAGCCUUGGCUCGGCCACCUGCUAGUAGUGUGACCUGACUUCUCUGUUCCUCAAGUUGCCUUGUGUGUAGAAUGGAGAGAAUGGAGUUUAGGAUUGUUGGAAGAACUGAAUGAGUUAACACACGGAAAGCACGUGUCAUCUGAGGUGCCAGCUGUUACCGUGGAACAGCAAUUAGGAUUGGUUAAAAACAACCACCACAAAAACGUGUUCGGUUCAGUAAGCCACGGUCUCCCGAGGACGUCACCCAGGGAUGCAGAAGUGAAACAAGCUGACGUUUCCAGAGACGGUGAGACUUUCUGUUUGGGAUUCUCUUUAUUCUUUUGCCUUCUUUAUAUCAGAGCAUUAAGGGUUAUCGUAGGGAUUUAGUUACGCACGUAGAGUAGAAAUUCAGGUUUUCUUUGGAAUAGGUGAACCGGUUAGCACAGAAAGUGUAACAUUAUGUAUGACCCCAUGAGGAGAGCAGGAGCUGCCUCUUUACAAAGAGUUACAUCUGUGUUUUUGGGAAAAAUGCCUGAGACCUUUCUGUGGUCCUCGAGAACUCCAGUCCUGGGCGUCCCAGGCCAAGGCGGCUGCUCCAGCAGGGACAGGCUUCCGUGCUGGCGACAGAUGGGCAGCCUGCGGGCAGGGGCUUCCCCCACUCACUCCCGCAGCCAAGUCGGAGAUGGACACAGGCUCCCUGUUUCCCUAGCCCCUUGGCCAAUUCUCCAAAGAUUUACCCUCCUUCUCUCCUCCUCCCUCCCUGUUCCUAAAGGAUGUCUGUCUCCUAGUUUGAGUAGCAGAGGCGCAAGCUU